GGACAAGUACUGAAGCACAUGAUGCCAGCUUCCAAGAAAAGUUUCUAGUGAUAAUUCCAUAGCGGCCCGUACCAAAACCGACACAGGUGGGCAAGGAGAGAAUCCUGAGGUGAGCGAGAGAACUGUUGCCAAGGAACUCGGCAAAAUGACUCCGUAAGUUAGCGAUAAGGAGUGCUCUUGUAAAAGAGAGCCGCAGUGAAGAGGCCCAAGCGACUGUUUAACUAAAACACAGCUCUCUGCAAAGUCGCAAGACGAAGUAUAGGGGGUGACGCCUGCCCGGUGCUGGAAGGUUAAGAGGAUUUGUCAUCCGCAAGGAGAAGCAAUGAAUUGAAGCCCCAGUGAACGGCGGCCGUAACUAUAACGGUCCUAAGGUAGCGAAAUUCCUUGUCAGGUAAGUUCUGACCCGCACGAAAGGCGUAACGAUUUGGGCGCUGUCUCGGCAGCAGACUCGGUGAAAUCUUAGUACCUGUGAAAAUGCAGGUUACCCGCAACUAGACGGAAAGACCCCAUGGAGCUUUACUGUAGCCUGAUAUUGAAUUUUGAUCAAAGAUGUACAGGAUAGGUGGGAGGCGAAGAGACGUGUACGCCAGUAUACGAGGAGCCGCUGUUGGGAUACCACUCUUGUUUGAUUGAAGUUCUAACCUGCACCCAUGAACUGGGUGAGGGACCGUGUCAGGUGGGCAGUUUGACUGGGGCGGUCGCCUCCUAAAGAGUAACGGAGGCGCCCAAAGGUACGCUCAGAUUGGAUGGAAAUCAAUCGACGAGUGCAAAUGCAGAAGCGUGCUUGACUGUGAGACAAACAAGUCGAACAGGGACGAAAGUCGGGAUUAGUGAUCCGGCGGUGCCGAAUGGAAGGGCCGUCGCUCAACGGAUAAAAGCUACCCUGGGGAUAACAGGCUGAUCUCGCCCAAGAGUUCACAUCGACGGCGAGGUUUGGCACCUCGAUGUCGGCUCAUCGCAUCCUGGAGCUGAAUUCGGUUCCAAGGGUUGGGCUGUCCGCCCAUUAAAGCGGUACGCGAGCUGGGUUCAGAACGUCGUGAGACAGUUCGGUCCCUAUCUGUUGUGGGCGUUGGAGAUCUGAGGAGAGCUGUCCUUAGUACGAGAGGACCGGGAUGGACCUACCGCUGGUGCACCAGUUGUUCCGCCAGGAGCAUAGCUGGGUAGCUAAGUAGGGAAGGGAUAAGCGCUGAAAGCAUCUAAGCGCGAAGCCUACUCCAAGAUGAGAUCUCCCAUUCGUAUAACGAAGUAAGACCCCUUGAAGACGACGAGGUGGAUAGGUCAGAGAUGGAAGUGUAGCGAUACAUGGAGUUGACUGAUACUAAUAGGUCGAGGACUUAAUCAC
rnacentral:rRNA from 1 species